rnacentral:rRNA from 1 species
UGAGGAAUCUUGCGCAAUGGGGGCAACCCUGACGCAGCAACGCCGCGUGAGUGAGGAAGGUCUUCGGAUCGUAAAGCUCUGUCGGGUGGGAAGAAACGUAUGGAAGCUAAUACCUUUCAUGCUUGACGGUACCACCAAAGGAAGCACCGGCUAACUCCGUGCCAGCAGCCGCGGUAAUACGGGGGGUGCAAGCGUUGUUCGGAAUCAUUGGGCGUAAAGGGCGUGUAGGCGGCUUGGUAAGUCAGAUGUGAAAGCCCUGGGCUUAACCCAGGAAGUGCAUUUGAAACUGUCAGGCUUGAGUAGGGGAGAGGAAGGUGGAAUUCCUGGUGUAGAGGUGAAAUUCGUAGAUAUCAGGAGGAACACCGGUGGCGAAGGCGACCUUCUGGCCCUAUACUGACGCUGAGACGCGAAAGCGUGGGUAGCAAACA